CCUACAGCAGUGCACAGAGCAGAAUGAUGAUGGAGAGGAUCUUGCUGGUCUUUAUGUAUCUUUCAGGCUGGAAGAUCUCCACCAGCCUUCAACUUCAGUACCACUAUGUGUCUGAUUCAAAGAACUGGACUGAAGCUCAGACCUACUGCAGAGAGACAUACACAGACCUGGCCACCAUUGAAAACACUGAAGAAAUGAAGCCAACUUAUCAACACAGUUUCAUCUGCUGGCUACAACUCUGAUGUCUGGGUUGGCCUGUACAGUAAGGUUGAGUGGAAGUGGUCUGAUGGAUACACAGGGAGUGGAGCUGAGUUUAGGAGCUGGGAAACUUCUGAUGAUGAACCAGACUUUGUUUCAGCCAAUCAGUUCUGUGUGAUCAUUGGAGGUGGAGGAGGAUGGUGGGAUGAUGAUUGCUCUUUGAAAUAUCCAUUGAUCUGUUACAGAGGAACACAGCUGGAGCCUGAAUAUGUUGUGGUGAAUGAAGCAAUGAAUUGGUCCAGUGCUCAGAGGCACUGCAGGGAGAACUUCAUAGACCUGGUCACUGUGAGGAACGACACUGAAAACACUGAGAUACAGAACCUGGUGCCAAGUGGAAACUGGGCAUGGACUGGCCUAUCUAGAGAUCCUAAUUUUUAUUGGUCUGAUCAGAGCAACUUCUCAUUCAGCAACUUGGAUAACACUGCAAACCUCAUUGGCUCUAUGAGAAUCAUAUGUGGUGUUGCAGCUCUGCACCGAUCAGGAAAAUGGAGGUUUUUGCCCUGUGAGAGAAGAUUACCAUUUGUCUGCCACAGCAUCCCUCCACCUCCAGUGAAGAGACAGGUAGUGAAGCUGAGGAUGAAGGUGGAGGACUCCUCUGUGGAUCUGAACGACCCUGCUGUGAAAGCUGGCAUCCUGAAAAAGGCAAGUCUCCAACAUCCAUCCUGAAACACUUUAAAUGGUCACAUUCCUGUGCUCAGUGACAGCAGGCUAUAUGAAAGAUGACUUCCAACACGUAAUGUAGAUUUGGGCUAAUGUUUCAAAAUGGCUGCCAUCUGUGUUUCCAGCUCCAGGACAGACUGGAGGAGAAAGGAGAGAGUGGAGUCUCCCUGAAGUGGAGAGAGCAGCCUGAUGGGAAAGUCUUCCACAAGGAGGGAGAAAAGUCCUCAAAAGAGAGAAAACUGAGCUGUGAAACUGAGACAGCUACACUACACCAGCCUGUAGUUAUCAUACACAAUAUUUAACCAUA